UACGGGAGGCAGCAGGGGGAAGUAUUGCACAAUGGGCGCAAGCCUGAUGCAGCCAUGCCGCGUGUAUGAAGAAGGCCUUCGGGUUGUAAAGUACUUUCAGUCGUGAGGAAGGUGUUAAGGUUAAUAACCUUAGCAAUUGACGUUAGCGACAGAAGAAGCACCGGCUAACUCCGUGCCAGCAGCCGCGGUAAUACGGAGGGUGCGAGCGUUAAUCGGAAUUACUGGGCGUAAAGGGCACGCAGGCGGUUAAUUAAGUUGGAUGUGAAAUCCCCGGGCUUAACCUGGGAAUGGCAUUCAAGACUGGUUAGCUAGAGUCUUGUAGAGGGGGUAGAAUUCCAUGUGUAGCGGUGAAAUGCGUAGAGAUGUGGAGGAAUACCGGUGGCGAAGGCGGCCCCUGGGACAAAGACUGACGCUCAUGUGCGAAAGCGUGGGGAGCAAAC
rnacentral:rRNA from 1 species